UACGUAGGGCGCAAGCGUUGUCCAGAAUUAUUGGGCGUAAAGAGCUCGUAGGUGGCGUGUCGCGUCUGCCGUGAAAGCCCAUGGCUUAACUGUGGGUCUGCGGUGGAUACGGGCAGGCUGGAGGCUGGUAGGGGCAAGCGGAAUUCCUGGUGUAGCGGUGAAAUGCGCAGAUAUCAGGAGGAACACCGGUGGCGAAGGCGGCUUGCUGGGCCAGUUCUGACGCUGAGGAGCGAAAGCGUGGGGAGCGAACAGG
rnacentral:rRNA from 1 species